UCAUGUGACCAGAAGUCACGCGCUGGUACUCAGAUGACGCAUAGUUGUUUUCACCGUCGUUUUGACAUAAAUUUAAUUAAAAUAGGGACAAAUCUCGCUCAGUUAUAAUAGCUUGUCAAGAUUUCUCAUAUUUUCUGAAAAACUUUUAAUUACCACGGCAUUCAACGUAAUGUAAAACUACGUUUCCCAGAAUUCCACGCGGCACUAACGUCGGGUGAACGGUCUCGAAGAUUGAAACGAAUUUACUGACUCUCGUUGAAGCCAAGACUCAUCCCUAAAGAGCCAUGGAAGUCAAGGAAACCCAACUCCAAGAUGGAGCUGCUGAAGCUACAGGAGGAGUCCAAGACAGAGGCGGCGUGUGUUCCUAUUUUCUUAAAGGAAAAUGUCAUUUUGGCCACAGAUGCCGUAUGUCUCACAGUGACCCAUCAGUUGAUCAUCAGGAAGCUGCUGCUCCCACUCAGAAUGAUGAACAGGAUGGAUGGGAGAUAGUGAAAAAGAAGAAAGCCAUUGGGAAGAAAUGUAGGAAAUCAAGAGAAAAUGAAGAGACAGAGGUGAAGAAAAAGCCUCGGAUGCGCACUGCGAAUGAUGUUAUUUCCCGGAUUCAGUGGGAUCCAUUGUUGGAUGAGGCGGACUUUGUCGUAGGCUACGUUGAUCGUUACCUGGGCGUGCUGGAGCAUCCAUUCUCUGAGUUCAACUGGGAUGCCAACCCCUGCGACUGUGAUUACACCACUGAGCUCGUGCUGCCCAGACACAGGAUCCAGUACUUUACCUACAGAGGCCACCGUGUCUGGGAUCGCCAUAGCCGGACUGAUAAAGUGUUUGGCUCCACUGGUCAAUCUCUGGCUCCCCCCUUUGGAGGGGAGGAGGAAGUGAGGGGUGAGGUCCACUUAGAUGUUAAAGAGGGAAGGGAUCCAGAGCCGACAAGUGAGAAGCAGCAACCACAUCUGAAGGAGGAGACUGGGCUGAAUAUUCUCAGCACAGCAAAACAAGCUCCUACAUGUAGAAACUUAGCAGCUGAGGAAUCCUGUGAUGAUGUGGAGAAAAUGGCACACAGCCUCGAGGCAGUGACCAUCUCCUCUUCCAAAAGUGAGGAGACAGAACAGAGGCCUGGUGGUCGACCUCCUAAAAAGAAGCCCACACACUUCAUCACCUUCAAGGCCAACACACCUGCCAUCCUCACUGGCUUCCAGCAGCUUCAGAAGGAGAUGGUGUCUCUGCUGCCAGCCUCAGCCCCCUACUGGCAGCCAGUCUCCUCCCUACAUGUCACCCUCUGCCUUUUAGUACUACGGGACCCGGCUGAAGUGGCGGCCGCUGUCGAAAUUCUCAAACGCUUUGCCCAAUUUCACCGCAACCCUCCAUUAACGUUGAGCUUCCCGGUCAAGCUGAAGCAUUUCCUUGGCAAGGUGUUGUUCCUGAGCCCACAGCCUCAUCUGGCCUUGCGGCAGUUCAACAAUGGUCUUCAAGAGGUCUACAGAGAGCAAGGGUUUCUUCACAGAGACUCUUACAACCCGCGCUAUCAUCUCACUCUUGCCAAGGUAACUGACAACUUGGAGGAGAGGAUGUUUGAAGGGGUGAGACAUCUGAAGGUGGGGAAGGGUUUGGAUUUUGGCCGUCUGCCAGUAAACAGUUUGCACCUUUGUGUGGUAAAUGCUCCUCCUGUCGAUGACUUUUACAAUGUUGUGUGCACUGUCACUCUGCAUUAAAAACAAAAAAUCAGAAUGAGUAACUGCACCUCAGGGACCUAUAUAGCUGCCUGACAUUGUUACACAGAAAAAUGAUAAACAAAAGUUCAGUUUUCCUCAUGGGUUGGAGGUCAAUACUACAUGCAACGAUAGGUACAGAAUAGACUAAUACAGCAGUGUAUGAACAGCCAAUCAGGCUGUGUGUAUUAAAUAAAAUGUAAUACCCAAGUCAAUGAGACACUUAUAAUAGGUAAUACACCGUCAAACAUGUUUACAAACUGAAUUGGUAAGGUGACGUGAUUUGCAAGCUCAAAUAGGUCGUACAUCCAGGCACUCAUCCUGAUUAAAGUGAAUGGAAAUAGUGUGUAAUGUUUCAGUUCCAAACCAAACAAGUUAUUGUUCCCUGAUGUUAAAGAAUUAAAUGAAAACACACUUUGUUUUGAAGAUAUUCAGAGAUUGUUUCCCUCUUCAUUGCAUCCUACAUGCUGUCUGUAAUAACACAACUUUUGGCCUAGUCAACAGAAGCAAGGAUUGGUGGACUAUAAGAAAAACUACACAACAGCAUAUAACUGUGGGUGACGUUGAAUGUUUCUUUACUUAAUUCUACUUUGUCUUAAUCUUGACUGGAGACACGCGAAUGUAAUGUAAUGUAUAACUUAUAAUCCUAGCUGUGUGCUAGCGUGUGGAAAUGGUGGCGACGUGUUUGGGGAAAAGUAAAGCUGCACUUUAUUUGUGACAAAAAUCAAAUCAUAUAAAUGUAAUUUCAGCAUGGACUUAAAAUAUACUUUUAUACAUGAUUGUAUUGUAUAAAUAAAAACCUUACAUAAUUUAUUUUUAUGUAAACUGGUUUUGUUGUUGUUUCUGGGUUAAUAUUUAUAUGGUUUCUACAGGGAUUCUUUGUGCUUUAUUUGUUUACCGCACCUUUCCUCGCAAGCUGUAGUUCAGGUUUCAUAAUUUCAUUGUUCUUGCUACAAGAAAAGAAAAUGAUCACUUAUCUACAUCCACAAGGUUUUAUCUGCCUGCAAUAAAUAUUCUCUCUUAAAUUGUUGAUGACGGGAAGAGAGUUUAUUUAUUUCCUUCCAGCUGUUAACUCGCCAAUCUGUGCCACAUAAUUUAUCUAAUCGCUGUUGUGUUACAAACUGCCUUCACCCAAUUGUAGCUGCAGAUAUGAAUUAUUGAAUGUAUUUCACAAUGCAGUAAGUUGUGUUGUUGCUACACUGAUACAAAAUUUUGUGUAGCAUAGCGCAUGUUGUGUCAGGUGGAUUUGUGUAUUGUCUGCUCAUUUCGUGGAUUGUUAAGUUUUAUGUACGUUUGUUGUAUGUAUUGUAUCUUCUUUUGUAUUCUUCUGUUUUGUGUUAAAGAAAUUUCCUCUCUGAAAGAGAUUUUCCUAAUCUUUCUGAGAUUGUAAGGCAUUGGGUUUUCAUUAGUAGGUCACUUUGGCUAAGCACACAAACACACACUACGACUUCUGUCAGUCCCGUGCAUCAUCUUUUCUUGUUGCUUGUGUUUGCUUGUUUCAUGUCUUGUUUGGUAACUUAAAGCCCAUCCCUGUUGUCUGAGCGUGGUGUGAGUGGUGUAGUGUCAGUUGUGUUUUGGAAGUCUUUGUUUUUUUUGUAUCCCUUUAUUCAAGUGCUUGCUUUUGGCCAUCAAUGUUUUGUUUUGAGAGUCUGAACUGAAUGGCAUAUCAAUCUCCUUUACAAUAUUCAUGGCUGAUUUUACCUUAAUGCAUCUGUGGUUAGCUUCAAAAUCCAUUGUCUACACCACAGACUCAUAACUCAUCGGCUCUCCUUCUCUUGCGUCCACCUUCCCAUCUUCGCUUGUGAUUUCUCUGUCAUUAUUGUAUUUUGUGUUUCACUUAAUGUAUUGUGCUGACCACAAGAAAGUAACCUCAUUUUCUGUAUGUCUAAUAUUGAAGAUCAUGACAGCAAAUAGUUGAAUCAAGCACAAGUCACAUUUGUACUUGAUUAUUACUUAUUGGCCAGGCUCUACAAGUAUUGAUCACAAUGACUCUUAAAGUGAAUAAUAGCCAUUGGUAUUGUUCAUUGAAUUGAUUGUGAGUCUGGCAUGUGGUGGUAACAAUGAUGGACGUACGCAUGUACAUGCUAUACAGUCAGUAACUGUGCUCCCUGUCUCUCAACUGUUUGCUCCUCGCUCGCCUUAUCUUGUUGCCUCCCUUCCCCCACUCUCUUUCAGUGACACAGAAAAACCAGUGCUGCCCCCUCCCUCUUUUUGCCGAUUCCCUUCUGCCUACUUUCUCCUCUCACAGACAAACAACAUACUGUUUUGACCAAUUUCUACUCAAUAUCCCAGCCAUCUCCUCUCUCAUCCCUCAUGCUGUGGCUGGUCAGUGGACCAUCAUUGAUGCUGCAGCCUCCACUGGAAACUGGUUUUGCCUACAAAUCCAUUGCAACUCCCCCUCUAUUCAUUGUUCACUCCAUCACUCUUGCUCACCCUCCUCUUCCUCUCAGCAUCACUCCCUGGGAACCCGCUUUUUUUCCCCCCUUCUCUCAAUGUUUGCCGCCUCUCGCUAGCUCACCCCCUCUCCAUCCCUAAAUUUCAUGCCCUCAUAUUUGCUCUCAACACCCUGCAGGAGUUUUGCAUCACACAUGAUGAUGUUUUUCCAAGAGCAUCAAACGAUGGUUGCUGCCAGGAUACCUCUUUGAGUGGGUAUAUAUUACAGCAUCGCCGGCGAAGAGACGACACAGGAACGAGGGAGAAUCCUUCGACUAUUACAGGGUGGAGGAGGGGAACUGUGG